rnacentral:rRNA from 1 species
UGGGACUGAGACACGGCCCAGACUCCUACGGGAGGCAGCAGUGGGGAAUAUUGCACAAUGGGCGAAAGCCUGAUGCAGCGACGCCGCGUGAGGGAUGACGGCCUUCGGGUUGUAAACCUCUUUCAGCAGGGAAGAAGCGAAAGUGACGGUACCUGCAGAAGAAGCGCCGGCUAACUACGUGCCAGCAGCCGCGGUAAUACGUAGGGCGCAAGCGUUGUCCGGAAUUAUUGGGCGUAAAGAGCUCGUAGGCGGCUUGUCACGUCGGAUGUGAAAGCCCGGGGCUUAACCCCGGGUCUGCAUUCGAUACGGGCAGGCUAGAGUUCGGUAGGGGAGAUCGGAAUUCCUGGUGUAGCGGUGAAAUGCGCAGAUAUCAGGAGGAACACCGGUGGCGAAGGCGGAUCUCUGGGCCGAUACUGACGCUGAGGAGCGAAAGCGUGGGGAGCGAACAGGAUUAGAUACCCUGGUAGUCCACGCCGUAAACGUUGGGAACUAGGUGUGGGCGACAUUCCACGUCGUCCGUGCCGCAGCUAACGCAUUAAGUUCCCCGCCUGGGGAGUACGGCCGC